rnacentral:rRNA from 1 species
ACGAACGCUGGCGGCGUGCUUAACACAUGCAAGUCGAACGAAGAGCGAUGGAAGCUUGCUUCUAUCAAUCUUAGUGGCGAACGGGUGAGUAACGCGUAAUCAACCUGCCCUUCAGAGGGGGACAACAGUUGGAAACGACUGCUAAUACCGCAUACGAUCUAAUCUCGGCAUCGAGGAUAGAUGAAAGGUGGCCUCUACAUGUAAGCUAUCACUGAAGGAGGGGAUUGCGUCUGAUUAGCUAGUUGGAGGGGUAACGGCCCACCAAGGCGAUGAUCAGUAGCCGGUCUGAGAGGAUGAACGGCCACAUUGGGACUGAGACACGGCCCAGACUCCUACGGGAGGCAGCAGUGGGGAAUCUUCCGCAAUGGACGAAAGUCUGACGGAGCAACGCCGCGUGAGUGAUGACGGCCUUCGGGUUGUAAAGCUCUGUUAAUCGGGACGAAAGGCCUUCUUGCGAAUAGUGAGAAGGAUUGACGGUACCGGAAGAGAAAGCCACGGCUAACUACGUG